rnacentral:rRNA from 1 species
UAUAGAGGGGAAUAGCCCAGAGAAAUUUGGAUUAAUGCCCCAUAGUAUUAUCGAUUAGCAUUAAUUGAUGAUUAAACAUUUAUGGCUAUAAGAUGGGUAUGCGUUCUAUUAGCUAGAUGGUAAGGUAACGGCUUACCAUGGCUACGAUAGAUAGGGGUCCUGAGAGGGAGAUCCCCCACACUGGUACUGAGACACGGACCAGACUCCUACGGGAGGCAGCAGUGAGGAAUAUUGGACAAUGGGCGAGAGCCUGAUCCAGCCAUGCCGCGUGCAGGAAGACGGCCCUAUGGGUUGUAAACUGCUUUUAUACAGGAAGAAACACUCCCUUGCGAGGGAGCUUGACGGUACUGUACGAAUAAGGAUCGGCUAACUCCGUGCCAGCAGCCGCGGUAAUACGGAGGAUCCAAGCGUUAUCCGGAAUCAUUGGGUUUAAAGGGUCCGUAGGCGGGACAAUCAGUCAGCGGUGAAAGUCUGUGGCUCAACCAUAGAAUUGCCAUUGAUACUGUUGUUCUUGAAUACUUAUGAAGUGGUUGGAAUAUGUAGUGUAGCGGUGAAAUGCAUAGAUAUUACAUAGAACACCGAUUGCGAAGGCAGAUCACUAAUAAUUUAUUGACGCUGAUGGACGAAAGCGUGGGUAGCGAACAGGAUUAGAUACCCUGGUAGUCCACGCCGUAAACGAUGGUUACUAGCUGUUCGGUCGCAAGACUGAGUGGCUAAGCGAAAGUGAUAAGUAACCCACCUGGGGAGUACGUUCGCAAGAAUGAAACUCAAAGGAAUUGACGGGGGCCCGCACAAGCGGUGGAGCAUGUGGUUUAAUUCGAUGAUACGCGAGGAACCUUACCAGGGCUUAAAUGUAGAUUGACAGGGGUGGAAACACCUUUUCCUUCGGGCAAUUUACAAGGUGCUGCAUGGUUGUCGUCAGCUCGUGCCGUGAGGUGUCAGGUUAAGUCCUAUAACGAGCGCAACCCCUGUUGUUAGUUGCCAGCGAGUCAAGUCGGGAACUCUAACAAGACUGCCAGUGCAAACUGUGAGGAAGGUGGGGAUGACGUCAAAUCAUCACGGCCCUUACGUCCUGGGCCACACACGUGCUACAAUGGUAGGGACAGAGAGCAGCCACUGCGCAAGCAGGAGCGAAUCUAUAAACCCUAUCUCAGUUCGGAUCGGAGU